rnacentral:lncRNA from 1 species
CACCUUUUUCUUGCCUUGCAUAGGUACUUGGUUGAGAGCCUGGAACGGGCGUCUGCGAUGCCAGCUGCUGUAGCCAAAAAUGCCGCUGGGUUUGAACCGUUCUGUCAAAACAGCCGGCGUCUGCAUCCUGCCUGCCUGUGGGUCCAGGCAGCUCCUCUCAGCUGCAGCUAGACCCGUGUCCUGGCCGUGCCCACGUGGGGAGCUGCCUUUGCAGUGCUGCCCAGCCAGCAGCAUCCCAGAAGGCUUCACAAACAAAUGCUAAGCACCUUUGCCACAGCUCCGUUUCCUUCAUCGCAAAACUGCGGUCACCUCUGGGGUGGAGCGUUGCAGUGGGGUUUAAGAGCAAGGCCCAGCCCUGAAUAAGACAGGAAUUGAAGAAGCGUCCUGUAUCCCAGCGGUGCUCGGUCUCUGGCCUAGGGGCCUGAUCCGGCCCGUGGAGCCGUCCAGCGACGGUGCUCCCCGUGAGUUGGAAAUUUGGCAGAGGCAGCCUGGAGCCAUGCCAAUUAACACCGCUCCCCACUGCCCCUACCACCUUUCCAGACCUAUGCAGAGCCCUGCAGUCUGGAUGAUGUGGCCCUGUGUGCAGGUUGCCCCACGACGAGAUUCGGGUCACGUGGACCGACUCCUGUGCACUGGAUCAGACGCACGGACCAACCUUGCACUCCGGAUCAGGCGUGCAGGCCAGCCCGCGGGGCCGGAGAGGCUGAGCACCGCUGCCGCAGCCAAAUCAAUCUGCGGCUGCGUUUCAGGAAAGCGGUGUACCGUGUGCCUUGUCAGCUGCUGAAUAUCCUGGAGUUGCAAGCUUUCCUCGGGCAGAAACCUGCAGCUGUAUAUAACAAAAGCUGAGAUCCUGAUGUAUGAUCCUAUGUGACCCCCUUGGUGCUGGGUCUGCAGCCCAAGAGGGCCAAAGCUCUGCCCGAACCUGGUGCCUUGUUGGCCAAGUGCCUGUGCUGUACUUCAGUCCUGGCUCUGGGCAUUGACCUUUGGGGAGACACAGAGAACAAGGGGUGCCUUUCAAGCUCCGGUGUCUCUACCCCUUCAGACCCGCCGAUGAUCCCUGAAUGUGGCCACCUGCCAGGAGAAUGUGAGAAGCUCGAAGUGGUUUGUUUGAGCCACAAACGAGGGGGAAGCGUGCUCCCUGCAGGCUUCCCAGGCGUCUCCCCCAGCUCCCUUGCAACUGAAAUGCUUGCUUCCCCAGCCUGACGAAGAGUGUUUAAACCCGAAAGCUUGCUAAGAAUUUUUUCUAACUAUUUGAGUUGCUCUAAUAAAAGAUAUUGGAUUUAC